GACGAACGCUGGCGGCGUGCCUAAUACAUGCAAGUAGAACGCUGAAGGAGGAGCUUGCUUCUCUGGAUGAGUUGCGAACGGGUGAGUAACGCGUAGGUAACCUGCCUGGUAGCGGGGGAUAACUAUUGGAAACGAUAGCUAAUACCGCAUAAGAUUGACUAUUGCAUGAUAGUCAGUUAAAAGGUGCAAUUGCAUCACUACCAGAUGGACCUGCGUUGUAUUAGCUAGUUGGUGGGGUAACGGCUCACCAAGGCGACGAUACAUAGCCGACCUGAGAGGGUGAUCGGCCACACUGGGACUGAGACACGGCCCAGACUCCUACGGGAGGCAGCAGUAGGGAAUCUUCGGCAAUGGACGGAAGUCUGGCCGAGCAACGCCGCGUGAGUGAAGAAGGUUUUCGGAUCGUAAAGCUCUGUUGUAAGAGAAGAACGAGUGUGAGAGUGGAAAGUUCACACUGUGACGGUAUCUUACCAGAAAGGGACGGCUAACUACGUG
rnacentral:rRNA from 1 species